AGUCGAACGGCAGCACGGGAGCAAUCCUGGUGGCGAGUGGCGAACGGGUGAGUAAUACAUCGGAACGUGUCCUGGAGUGGGGGAUAGCCCGGCGAAAGCCGGAUUAAUACCGCAUACGCUCUGUGGAGGAAAGGGGGGGAUCUUAGGACCUCCCGCUCAAGGGGCGGCCGAUGGCAGAUUAGCUAGUUGGUGGGGUAAAGGCCUACCAAGGCGACGAUCUGUAGCUGGUCUGAGAGGACGACCAGCCACACUGGGACUGAGACACGGCCCAGACUCCUACGGGAGGCAGCAGUGGGGAAUUUUGGACAAUGGGGGAAACCCUGAUCCAGCAAUGCCGCGUGUGUGAAGAAGGCCUUCGGGUUGUAAAGCACUUUUGUCCGGAAAGAAAACCAUCGCCCUAAUAUGGUGGUGGGAUGACGGUACCGGAAGAAUAAGCACCGGCUAACUACGUGCCAGCAGCCGCGGUAAUACGUAGGGUGCAAGCGUUAAUCGGAAUUACUGGGCGUAAAGCGUGCGCAGGCGGUUCGCUAAGACAGAUGUGAAAUCCCCGGGCUUAACCUGGGAACUGCAUUUGUGACUGGCGGGCUAGAGUAUGGCAGAGGGGGGUAGAAUUCCACGUGUAGCAGUGAAAUGCGUAGAGAUGUGGAGGAAUACCGAUGGCGAAGGCAGCCCCCUGGGCCAAUACUGACGCUCAUGCACGAAAGCGUGGGGAGCAAACAGGAUUAGAUACCCUGGUAGUCCACGCCCUAAACGAUGUCAACUAGUUGUCGGGUCUUCAUUGACUUGGUAACGUAGCUAACGCGUGAAGUUGACCGCCUGGGGAGUACGGUCGCAAGAUUAAAACUCAAAGGAAUUGACGGGGACCCGCACAAGCGGUGGAUGAUGUGGAUUAAUUCGAUGCAACGCGAAAAACCUUACCUACCCUUGACAUGUAUGGAAUCCUGCUGAGAGGUGGGAGUGCCCGAAAGGGAGCCAUAACACAGGUGCUGCAUGGCUGUCGUCAGCUC
rnacentral:rRNA from 1 species